rnacentral:tRNA from 1 species
AGGCAAGAAUUUUAAUUUGCAAUUAAUAUUAGCUAUAUUUAUAGCCUUGUCUA